ensembl:lncRNA
AAAUAGUUGAACAUUUAGAAAAUGAGCAUUUUUGAGUGGCUUGGCAUCGGUACACAGUAUUCCAACACCAUCGUCGAUACUUUAGUGUUAUAAAAAGGUUUCAGUUACUAACAUGAACUGAGAGAUACAACAAAUAUUAAAGGUGAUUGAGUGUAUGAAACUGAAAAACUAUAAAAAGGUAGAAACUAUUAUAAAUAUGAAGAAAACCGAAAAACUGAAAAGAUAGAAGGUACUGUAAAGAAAAAACGGUUAUACCAUUUGAAGCAGAACAAAAUAAAUAACAUUCCAAUAAACUUUUUUUACUUAAUAAUAGAAAUUGAAAAUGUAAAACUCUGAAGGUAUUACAAGGGCUAGACAAAUUUUGAGUUCUUUGGCAGAAGCAGAGAGAUGAUUUACUGAAUAGUAUCAAUAUGAAGACAAAGUCUGCUUAUUGAGAUAUCUCACCUAUUAUUUUAAUAGAGAAGUCAUUGGAAAAGUUUGUUGUAAUUCUCUUUGGUUUAGUAUUGGCUCAAACCAUCGUAUCAUAUAGCUAGUGACAGACAUAUGAAAUGAAAAAUUACAGCAAGCUGGGUGCGGUGGCUUGUGUCUGUAAUCCCAGUACUUGGUGAGGCUGAGGUGGGAGGAUCGCUUGAGCUCUGGAGUUCAAAACCAACCUGGGCAACAUAGCGAGACCCUCUCUCUAAAAACAAAAAUAAUAAUAAUAAUAAUAAUUAGCUGAGCAUGGUGACACACGCCUGUAGCCCCUGCUUUUUGUGAGGCUGAGGCCAGGAGGUAAAGGCUGUAGUGACCUAUGAUUGUACCUCUGCAUCCCAGCCUGGGCAACAAAGCAGACUCAGUGUCUCCCAAAAAAGGAAAAAAAAAAUCUGUAGCAACAAGUUUCAAAAAGACUUUAGAAAUCGUUGGAAUGAUUUCUUUCAAAUGAUUGGUGCUAUAGCUUGUAUCACUUGAUAAGCAUUUUUGUAAUACCAUUAUUUGGAGAUUAUAAGAUAAUAAAUAUAUUUAAAUUUUUUGAGUUAUAAAUUCAUACUGGUUAGUAAAUAUUUUAAAUGUCCCCACUGAUAUUGUCUAUUUUGCAUAAAAGCAUAAUGUCAGACUUUCUCUGUGUGGUGGUUAUAUUCAGAGUGUCUCUGAAUGCCAGCAUAAAAAUCGUGGAAUUGAAUAGAAAUUGGCCUGUCUUAAUGACGUAUGGUUUCUUUUUUAAUGUUUUGAAAUAAUUAAAGAGAAUUAAGUCACACAGGGAGGUCUAGGUGAACAGACAUUGAAGUUUAUUACUAGACUUUUCAGACCUAAAAAUUGUAUUUAUUAUUAUUAUUUGAAUAUGUCAAAAUUAUAUUACUGGACAAUCUUCUACACAUUCCUCUUUCUAAAACCUAAUUGAACAAUUACAGUUCUCUGGUUCAGAAAAUUACAUUAGCUCAGAACCCAGUAACCCUUAAUAACUUAACCGUGUUAGCGCAGCAGUUCCUGAGUGUGUGCUUUGUGCAGAGCGUUGGACUAUGUACUGCUCUUGAUGUGGGGACAGCUGGAACAGAGAGCUAUCAUUGAAAUAGACAUCUGUUUAAGAGGUGAUACUUAGAUGAACCUCUGUAUUUCUGAAAAAUAAAUGUGAAAUAUCUUAAGAGCU